rnacentral:rRNA from 1 species
UUCUUGAAAAUUAAAAAAUUUGGCGGUAUUUUAGUCUUUUCAGAGGAACCUGUUCUAUAAUCGAUAGUCCACGAUUUAAAGUACUUUUUUUAAUAGUUUGUAUAUCGUCGUAGGUUGAAUAUUUUAAGAGAAAAAAAUAUUCAAAAUUUAAUUUAUAAAAUAAAUCAGAUCAAGGUAUAGUUAAUAAAAAAGAAGAAAUGGGUUACAAUAAUUAUAAAUGAGAAUUUAAAGUUUAAAAUUUUAAUGAAUAAGGAUUUGAAAGUAAUUUUAUUGAAAUUAAUAAAAUGAUAUAAGCUCUAAAAUAUGUACAUAUCGCCCGUCGCUUUCACUUUAAGGUGAAAUAAGUCGUAACAAAGUAGAUUUACUGGAAAGUGAAUCUAGAAAGACAAGUUAGAGCUUGAAAAAAGCAUUUUAUUUACAUUAAAAAGUUAAUUGUGAAAUUCAAUUUAACUUGAAAAAAAAAAAUUAUUAAAAAUUUAGGUAAAAAAUUUAUUAAAAAAAAAAAUUAAAUUUUUGAGUAUAAAUAAAAAAAAAUAAAUUUUAUUAUAGAGAAUUAAAGUAUUGGGAGAGAAAUUUAUUAUUUGAAAAUAAGAAAAAUUUAUUUUUUUGUACCUUGGGUAUCAGGGUUGAUUAAUUUUUAAAAAUAUUAUAAUAUCUCGAAUUUAAAAGAGCUAAUUAAAUAUAAUUUUAUUGUAGAAUAAAUAUUUAAAAUAUUAAGUUAGUAAUGAAACGUUAUUCGUUUUUAAAUUUAUCUAGUUAUUUAAGAAAAAAAUUAAAUUUUAUUUUUAUUAAUAAAUUUUUUUAUAUUUAAUAAUUUAUUAUUAAAAUUAAAUAAAAAGGGGGAUAAGCUUCUUUUUAAAGUUUUAAAAAUAAUUUAAAGGGUUAAAUUUAUAGAAUUUAAAAUGUUCAUUGUUAAGAAUUUGUUAUAAUUGAUUUAAAAAUGAAAAUACUUUAUAUUAAUUUUAAAUUUUUUAUUAAAUUAUUAAUUAUAAUAAUAAUAAUUAAGAAAUAAUGAUUAAAUUAGUAGUUAAUAUUGUAGAUAAUAAAUUUAAUUAAAGAUUAAAUAAAGGAACUCGGCAAAUAUAAUUUUCACCUGUUUAUUAAAAACAUGGCCUUUUGAAUAUAAUUUAAGGUCUAGCCUGCCCACUGAGGAGUUGAAGGGCCGCGGUAUUUUGACCGUGCUAAGGUAGCAUAAUCAUUAGUUUUUUAAUUGAAAGCUGGAAUGAAUGGUUGGAUGAGAAAGAGACUGUCUCUAUUUAAAUUAAAAUGAAUUUUAUAUUUAAGUAAAAAAGCUUAAAUUAAUUUAAAAGACGAGAAGACCCUAUAGAGUUUAACAAAAAGUUAAUUUUAAAUUUUUAGAAUUUUA